rnacentral:lncRNA from 1 species
UUCAACCUUGAUGCUAAUCUCUCAAAGCCAAUAUCUUUUUAUUUCACUAUUUGACUGAUUUCAAACUUUUCAUAUACAUAGAAAAACAAACCUAUUAUCCUUAUCCAUAAAUUUCACUCCAAUCGAACUAGUAAAUUGCAUGAAAUCUUAAAAAUCCUCACUGGACCUAACAUUCUACUUUCUAAGACCUUGAUCCACUAAAACCUCAAUAACCUUCAAUUCAACCAUUAAAACAUGCUAAAAUUUACAACACAUAUUAAGCACAAUUAUAACCAUCAACCUAAAAAAUUUCGCUUGUAGAUCUAUUACAAAACUCUUGAAAUUUUCUAAAACGUCAAUCCUAUUUUAUUUCACAAAAUUCAAGUCAUCCAAAAACAAACUUGAUUUGUGAAGCUUUCACAAAGUCAUUACAUAUCCAAAGCACCUAAAACCAAUGCUAAUAAAAAUUUAAUUAAGUCUGCCAUCAA